rnacentral:rRNA from 1 species
UUGAUCCUGGCUCAGGAUGAACGCUAGCGACAGGCCUAACACAUGCAAGUCGAGGGGUAACAUUGGUGCUUGCACCAGAUGACGACCGGCGCACGGGUGCGUAACGCGUAUGAAACUUACCUGUUAAUAAGGGAUAGCCCGAAGAAAUUUGGAUUAAUACCUUAUGGUCUAUUAUCUUCGCAUGUUUAUAAUAGUAAAGAUUUAUCGAUAGCAGAUAGUCAUGCGUGACAUUAGGUAGUUGGUGGAGUAACGGCCCACCAAGCCGACGAUGUCUAGGGGUUCUGAGAGGAAGGUCCCCCACACUGGUACUGAGACACGGACCAGACUCCUACGGGAGGCAGCAGUGAGGAAUAUUGGUCAAUGGACGCAAGUCUGAACCAGCCAUGUCGCGACGGCCCUAUGGGUCUUAAACUGCUUUUAUACGGGAAGAAAGGGGAGUAUUAAUACUCUUAUAUGCCGGUACCGUAUGAAUAAGCAUCGGCUAACUCCGUGCCAGCAGCCGCGGUAAUACGGAGGAUGCGAGCGUUAUCCGGAUUUAUUGGGUUUAAAGGGUGCGUAACACUGCCAUUGAUACUGUUAUUCUUGAAUUAAGUUGAGGUAUGCGGAAUGUGUUAAGUAGCGGUGAAAUGCAUAGAUAUAACACAGAACACCAAUUGCGAAGGCAGCAUACUAAGUUUAUAUUGACGCUGAUGCACGAAAGCGCGGGUAGCGAACAGGAUUAGAUACCCUGGUAGUCCGCGCCGUAAACGAUGAUUACUGGUUGUUGGCGAUAGACAGUCAGCGACUGAGCGAAAGCAUUAAGUAAUCCACCUGGGGAGUACGUUGGCAACAAUGAAACUCAAAGGAAUUGACGGGGGCGUAACAAGAGAUUGUUAUUUCUUCGGACAAUAUACAAGGUGCUGCAUGGUUGUCGUCAGCUCGUGCCGUGAGGUGUCGGGUUAAGUCCCAUAACGAGCGCAACCCCAAUUGUUAGUUACUAGCGAGUAGUGUCGAGGACUCUAGCAAGACUGCCGGUGUAAACCGCGAGGAAGGUUGGGAUGACGUCAAAUCAGCACGGCCCUUACGUUCGGGGCUACACACGUGUUACAAUGGUCGAUACAAAGGGCAGCUACCCGGUGACGGGAUGCUAAUCUCAAAAGUCGGUCUCAGUUCGGAUCGAAGUCUGCAACUCGACUUCGUGAAGCUGGAUUCGCUAGUAAUCGCGCAUCAGCCAUGGCGCGGUGAAUACGUUCCCGGGCCUUG